AGGUGCGAUCAUACCAACGUUAAUGCACUGGAUCCCAUCAUAACUCCGUAUUUAAGCGCGCUUGGGCUAGAGCAGUACUAGGAUGGGUGACAUCCCAGGAAUUCCUAUUGUUGCACCCU
rnacentral:rRNA from 1 species